rnacentral:lncRNA from 1 species
CUUGAGUAGUUAUCAAAUUUGAAGGGCUGAGGAGGCUUCUAGGUGCACUGAAACUUAUGGGGAGAAGGCGGGAGGAAAGUCUGAGUCACAAAUGAUGAAUAAUCAAGUUUGGCAGGCAUGUGAGUUCUAUGGAAUGAGACUUGGAAAGUGACUCUGGAAAGAUAUGGAGCCUUGCAUGCUAGGCGAAGAAUGUUGGCUUUUAUCUUACCAAUUUGCGAAAGAGUGGCAUGAUCAAAGGAAUGUUUCUGUAAGAUCAGUUUGGCACAGGGAUACAAGAUGAAUUGGAAGGGCUGGAUUCUAAGCUAGAAAAUCAUUUAGAGGGCUCUUGCUGUAACCUUCUUGGUGACAGGGAAGCAGAACUUAACUGGGAAGAGAAGAGGUGAAUGGGAUAGUUAUGUGGAGAAAAAAUUAACAAGACUUGAUGACUGACUGGUUGGAAUCCUCAGAGCUGGAGUGUUGUCUGCUUCCUACAAAGGCAAAGCCAUGUGGCUCACACUUCCUGUGCCCGUGGUGAUCUAAAGUAGCCUAUACCUACUGCUCUUGUAUUAGGCAUCUAAUUGAAUAAGUACUAUCGAUCUAUCUAAGUGAUUGGAUAUAAUAUGUACUAUUAUGGUUUGAAAUUAUGAACUACAGUAGUUAGAAGAAAACAUCACGGGGAGGCUGUUUUCAACAUUUCUCCUUUUUUUGUCUUCCCUGCCACUUGCUCCAUGAAUAUCAUAUGUUGAAUUCUGAAAUUAGAUGACACCAUAUUAUUAAUUUCUUUGUAUUUUUUCUUUAUGAAAACCACUCCAGGCAAAAAACAAUGCAACAAUAAAAGAACAGCAAGAACAACAGUCAUGGACAAUGGAACUUUAUACUCUCUGCCAGUUUACCGUGUUUGAGAAGAGCUCUCGACUUCCCUUGUUGACCAUCCACGUCUCCAUCGAGGGGAAGAGGCAACCCACUAGAAAUGAAAAACUGAGAAAUAAACAAGUCAUUCUUCACAACGAACUUCCCGUGAUGGGUGCCUGUGAGGCUCAGAAAUCACUCAGCCCUGGAAGUUGUAAGCCAAGUCUUCUCUGAGGUGCUUUUCUUUCCCCCAAAGAAGUCGUAACAGGUAUAUAUAUAGAUCUAUAAUGCCUUUCUGUUGGGGAAAUGAAAGUACUUUCAAAACAAUCUCAUAACAUUGCGAUAGAGGAAAUGAUGGCAGGUUUUAUAUUACCCUCAUCAUACAGGUGAUGGAGGCCCUGAUGAAUGGAGUAGGUGACAAAGUCACAAAUGGAUGUCAGGCCUUCUGAUGUACAGCUAAGACUUCAGUGGUUAAAUGAAAAAUAUGUUCCUGUUUUGCUCAGCCCUUUCUCAUCUUUCAGAGAGACUCUUUCUCAUUGGUUUUAACCUUUGCUCAUUCCUACACAGACAUGUACUCCAUACAUCCCCCAAAAGAAUAGGGCUCUCGACUCAAAUUUUAAGUUUAAAUCUCACAUUACGAAAUGAUAUCACAAUCAAUAAAUGCUAGGAUCAAAAAAAAAUUAGUUGAAGU